CCUACGGGUGGCAGCAGUGAGGAAUAUUGGUCAAUGGACGAGAGUCUGAACCAGCCAAGUAGCGUGAAGGAUGACUGCCCUAUGGGUUGUAAACUUCUUUUAUAUGGGAAUAAAAUGUUCCACGUGUGGGACUUUGUAUGUACCAUAUGAAUAAGGAUCGGCUAACUCCGUGCCAGCAGCCGCGGUAAUACGGAGGAUCCGAGCGUUAUCCGGAUUUAUUGGGUUUAAAGGGAGCGUAGGUGGGUUGUUAAGUCAGUUGUGAAAGUUUGCGGCUCAACCGUAAAAUUGCAGUUGAGACUGGCAGGCUUGAGUACAGUAGAGGUAGGCGGAAUUCGUGGUGUAGCGGUGAAAUGCUUAGAUAUCACGAAGAACUCCGAUUGCGAAGGCAGCUCACUGGACUGCAACUGACACUGAGGCUCGAAAGUGUGGGUAUCAAACAGGAUUAGAUACCCGAGUAGUC
rnacentral:rRNA from 1 species